UUUGAUCUCACACUAGGACUGUGGAUUGUAGAUUGAUUUGAUGAUUUGCUUAGGCGACAGAUUGGACUACUUUUUCAAAAAAGCAGAUUGUAACGGUUUUACCGGCUUAAAAUUUGAAUUCUUCAUGCCCAUAGCUGCAACGAAACCGAUUUUCGAUGCCGCAAUCAGAACGAGGUGACAUACGAACAGUUUUAUUGCACCACCAUAAACACCGCUGUCAGAUAAUUCGAUGCCGGUAUCUAUAAUUGAAAUAUAAAACUAUAUAACUACUGGAUAACUGGGGACCGCUACCGAUCGAGAUAAUCCUCACGCCGUUUGUGUGCGAAUUGCACUCAAACUUGCCCAAUGCCAAUAUCCGAUUGCUGCAAGGAACGCUCGCUUGAAGCAACAACAACAAAAAGCUGCCGUUCUCGAGCUUCAGGUUCAGAAAGGUAAAGUCGUGGCCGUGCUGAUUAGAUUUAUCGUCCCAACGUGUAAUUAACCGUACGGUACACAUACUUUAUUAGAAACCUCUUGCGUGCAGGCUGACCUCACGGUGUUUGGCGCUGUCGCCGGUAUUUAUGGCUUUCUUCCGAGUUCCUGAUGGCCUCGCCCUGCCUACCGUUCGAGAGCGCCUGGCAAGGGGUGAAAAUGUAAAUUAAUUAUUAAACUCGUCACACUCAAAACCUCCUUUCCGCCCACAGUGAGCUGUAGUUGCUGUACUUUCAACCUAGCUUUUUUCUUCCUUCAUCUCGGUCGGAUUCUUUGUUUUACGAGGUAGCAAAAACCGAAGAACGAGUACUCCUGCAACACCACCAUCGCCGAGUACGUCACGAUAUGCAGCUGAAAAGGGGAAAGACAUUGGCAUUGAUUUUAUUUAUGGCUGCCUGGUAACCAUCAGCAAGCGGUCAGUGCAUUGCAGUUGGGUCCUCGGUAUUGCAGCUAGCUCAGUCGGACAACUGACUUAAACUCUGGACCGGUUCUUGGGCACAUGCCCAACGAUCGCAACCAUCGAAUGGAGCAAAGCUGGUUUUGCACGGUGUCGCUGGCGGAAAUUCGUUGCUCCAUUGAACCCGGGGUACCAUAGCUGUCGGAAGUGGCCGGUACUCCACUGCGAACCACCAGAAACGCCAGAUGGUGGCACCUGAUCGGGCCAACGGACGGACGGCCGGUAAUACAUAAUUUCUGAAAAGGGGCCACACGAUCCUACGCUCUGUAUGAGGCAAGUUGUUAUGCUCCGGUACGGAGGCGAUCUAUUCUAACAGCAAACACACGCCUAACGAAUGAGGUAACUACGGUAAGAAUGGUGUACACCUUACAGUGGCUAGCAAGAUAAACGAAACGUUGGAUGCUAAGCCCACCAAGAUGAAAGGGAGCGCUCGGGACAACUUUUGGCACGGCUGGAACUUGUUGCAAUCGUGUCAUGUUCAAGGUUUCCGUGCGUGUGUUCGGUGCACACACAAGACGAAGCAAACCGGAGCGAGCGUACGAAAACAACGCGGAAGUUGAAUUUCUUGAACGAUUCCAACUAUCACUGGUAAGAUAAUCCAUCAACAUUUUUUGAUCUUCGUCAGAACAUGGCGUUCUAUACAUCCAGCUCGUAAGUAAUACUUCGUAAAGCAUUUAUAGCAAUGGUGAUAUGUUUUUGAGAUAAAUAACAAAGAAGAUACAAUUUUAACAAGCAA